UGGGCUGUUUCGAAAAACACACGUCCUGUGGCUCUGAGUCAUUGAGAGGUACGAGGAUUCCAGACGCCACCUCCUCAGCCUCCAAGUCCUGAGGUUUAAUUUGCCACUGAUAUCUCUGGAAUGACUCAGCUGAGAUUUUUCAUGCCUCCAGAAACCAACUCUAGAUUAGACAACGGU